UACGUAGGGUGCAAGCGUUAAUCGGAAUUACUGGGCGUAAAGCGUGCGCAGGCGGUUUUGUAAGACAGAUGUGAAAUCCCCGGGCUCAACCUGGGAACUGCAUUUGUGACUGCAUCGCUAGAGUACGGCAGAGGGGGGUGGAAUUCCGCGUGUAGCAGUGAAAUGCGUAGAGAUGCGGAGGAACACCGAUGGCGAAGGCAGCCCCCUGGGCCAAUACUGACGCUCAGGCACGAAAGCGUGGGGAGCAAACAGG
rnacentral:rRNA from 1 species